AUAUUCUUUAAUUCAGAACCCUAUUAAAAUAGAAACAUUAAAAUCCAUAGUAUAAUAUAAAAACAUUUCUGUAUGUUUUAUUGUAACCAUAAAUACUGCUGUGGAAGAUGAUACUACUCCCCACCUGGCCCCUACAACUUGCAGCAUCAUUUUCCAGUAAUUGUAAAGUUUGUUUGGGAGAUAUUUGGAAGACGCUUAAGAUUUAUUAGAUGUUAACUAAAAGGUUAGCUGGUAGAUAUUCAGUAAACAGUAAUUGAAUGAAUAAGGAAAUACAUUAUUAAAGAGCAAAUGCGAACUUCUAAUUAUGUUAAAAAUAUUUAGUGGUUACAAAAUUUUGCACUUUCAAGUGUUUCUUAGAAUGAAACAUUUCUUUCACUGCCUUAGAAAUAUAUUAGCUGCUGGAUAAUUUUGUGACAGGAAACAAUGGUCAAAGGAUCUGAUUUCCAAUCCAUUUCAGGGGCUCAUUGUGAUCAUCUAAGUCAUAUCUGGAUGGAUAGUCAACAGACUUCGACUUUUGUUGGUUGUACAUUUCACAUGAAUACUGGAUGUCUGAGAAAGAGUGGGAAGGAUAAUAAUGCCUUAAAAACUGUGCUUUGAAAUAAUUCUCACACUACAGAAUUUAAACCUUUCAACACAGUCCAAAUCUAUAUAUACAGGCAAAUUAAUAUUGUAAGCAAUAAAAUAAUGAAAUGUCAUUAACAUGAAGCUAAACCUGUGUCUUGAAAAAUAUAACUUUGGAGAUUGAAAUAGAAAUUUCUUUGAUGCUGAAGGCAGUAGACCUUCAUUCCUCUGUUCCCAUUUCUAACAGUUGCACACCAUUUUGAAGCUUCCUUUUCCUUCUAGAGCUAUAGAAUUACCAGUUUUACAAGCUCCAAAAAGUCAACACUAUGCUGCUAAUGAAUUGUUUUUUUUCCAUCUGGGAAUAUUGUGUUGUGCUCAUUUUAUGUAACAGUUAACAUAAAGAAAAUUGAUUUAAACAUCA